rnacentral:rRNA from 1 species
UCGAGAAUUUUUCUCAAUGGGGGGAACCCUGAAGGAGCGACGCCGCGUGGGGGAUGAAGGGCUUCGGCUCGUAAACCCCUGUCAUUUGUGAGCAAGUGUUAUAGUUUAAGAGAUGAUGACAUUGAUAGUAGCAAAAGAGGAAGGGACGGCUAACUCUGUGCCAGCAGCCGCGGUAAUACAGAGGUCCCAAGCGUUGUUCGGAAUCACUGGGCGUAAAGGGUGCGUAGGCGGUAUGGUAAGACUUGGGUGAAAUCUCCAUGCUUAACGUGGAGGGAGCCUGGGAGACUGCCGUGCUAGAGGAUUGGAGGGGAGACUGGAAUUCUUGGAGUAGCAGUGAAAUGCGUAGAUAUCAAGAGGAACACCAGUGGCGAAGGCGAGUCUCUGGACAAUUCCUGACGCUGAGGCACGAAGGCCAGGGGAUCAAACGGG